GAUGCUUUUAAAUCCUCAAAUCACUUUCUAAGAAGAUUAGUAUGGCCCUUGCGCAAGGAUGAAACAUAUAAAUCAAAAAAUGGUCCAGGUUUUU
rnacentral:snRNA from 2 species